rnacentral:pre_miRNA from 1 species
CUUCUGCUCCCUCCGUUCCGAAUUAUUUGUCGCAAGUAUGGAUGUAUCUAAAUGUAUUUUAGUUCUAGAUACAUCCAUUUUUUGUGACGAGUAAUUUGAAACGGAGAGAAUAUUAU